CCCACAUCAGUCAUUUCACUAGGGUGCGACGGACUGAGAGGACGGCUGAAGUACAAACGCAUCCACUGUGAGGGACUGGGACUUUUUGAUUGUGACGGGCUAUCGACUAUGACCCGUGUUAGUACAGAGGGCUGGUGGGAGUGACCACCAACGUUCAUUUAUAAUAUUUUUAUCAGGUCAUGGGGAAUUCGAAGUAUAUCCCUACCACCAACAGGCAGGAGGAGUCUGGAAGUAGUGGAAAACUCUAGAUCUGUUGUCUGGGCUGAGCUUGGCACCCUACCGGCAGCAUGAA